CAGUAGCCGCGGUAAUACGAAGGGGGCUAGCGUUGCUCGGAAUGACUGGGCGUAAAGGGCGCGUAGGCGGCGGCCAAAGUCAGGCGUGAAAUUCCCGGGCUCAACCUGGGGGCUGCGUUUGAUACUUGGUUGCUUGAGUGGGGAAGGGGGUCGUGGAAUUCCCAGUGUAGAGGUGAAAUUCGUAGAUAUUGGGAAGAACACCGGUGGCGAAGGCGGCGACCUGGUCCUUUACUGACGCUGAGGCGCGAAAGCGUGGGGAGCAAACAGGAUUAGAUACCCCUGUAGUCCCUGUCUCUUAUAU
rnacentral:rRNA from 1 species